rnacentral:rRNA from 1 species
UACAGAGGAGCCAAGCGUUGUCCGGAUUGACUGGGCGUAAAGCGCACGCAGGCGGCACCGCGCGUGGGGUGUGAAAUCUGGCCGCUUAACGGCCAGGCGCCAUCCCAUACGGCGCGACUGGAGUGAUGCAGAGGUCGAUGGAAUUGCCGGUGUAGUGGCGAAAUGCGUAGAGAUCGGCAGGAACCCCCAGGGGGAAACCAGUCGACUGGGCAUCUACUGACGCUGAGGUGCGAGAGCGUGGGGAGCGAACCGG